AUUGAACGCUGGCGGCAGGCCUAACACAUGCAAGUCGAACGGUAACAGAAAGCAGCUUGCUGCUUUGCUGACGAGUGGCGGACGGGUGAGUAAUGUCUGGGAAACUGCCUGAUGGAGGGGGAUAACUACUGGAAACGGUAGCUAAUACCGCAUAACGUCGCAAGACCAAAGAGGGGGACCUUCGGGCCUCUUGCCAUCGGAUGUGCCCAGAUGGGAUUAGCUAGUAGGUGGGUAACGGCUCACCUAGGCGACGAUCCCUAGCUGGUCUGAGAGGAUGACCAGCCACACUGGAACUGAGACACGGUCCAGACUCCUACGGGAGGCAGCAGUGGGGAAUAUUGCACAAAGGGCGCAAGCCUGAUGCAGCCAUGCCGCGUGUAUGAAGAAGGCCUUCGGGUUGUAAAGUACUUUCAGCGGGGAGGAAGGGAGUAAAGUUAAUACCUUUGCUCAUUGACGUUACCCGCAGAAGAAGCACCGGCUAACUCCGUG
rnacentral:rRNA from 1 species